GGGUUGUGAGGUUAAGCGACUAAGCGUACACGGUGGAUGCCCUGGCAGUCAGAGGCGAUGAAGGACGUGCUAAUCUGCGAUAAGCGCCGGUAAGGUGAUAUGAACCGUUAUAACCGGCGAUUUCCGAAUGGGGAAACCCAGUGUGAUUCGUCACACUAUCAUUAACUGAAUCCAUAGGUUAAUGAGGCGAACCGGGGGAACUGAAACAUCUAAGUACCCCGAGGAAAAGAAAUCAACCGAGAUUCCCCCAGUAGCGGCGAGCGAACGGGGAGGAGCCCAGAGCCUGAAUCAGCAUGUGUGUUAGUGGAAGCGUCUGGAAAGGCGCGCGAUACAGGGUGACAGCCCCGUACACAAAAGCGCAUGUGCUGUGAGCUCGAUGAGUAGGGCGGGACACGUGGUAUCCUGUCUGAAUAUGGGGGGACCAUCCUCCAAGGCUAAAUACUCCUGACUGACCGAUAGUGAACCAGUACCGUGAGGGAAAGGCGAAAAGAACCCCGGCGAGGGGAGUGAAAAAGAACCUGAAACCGUGUACGUACAAGCAGUGGGAGCCCCACCACUAAGCCAGUGGUGAACUCCACAUACGCAUCCUUUGCUGAGGAUACGGUUAACGGAGCGAAAGCGACGUUCAACCGCAAAAGAAGCAGAGGGGGCUUAGUGGUGGGGUGACUGCGUACCUUUUGUAUAAUGGGUCAGCGACUUAUAUUCUGUAGCAAGGUUAACCGCAUAGGGGAGCCGGAGGGAAACCGAGUCUUAAUUGGGCGUUAAGUUGCAGGGUAUAGACCCGAAACCCGGUGAUCUAGCCAUGGGCAGGUUGAAGGUUGGGUAACACUAACUGGAGGACCGAACCGACUAAUGUUGAAAAAUUAGCGGAUGACCUGUGGCUGGGGGUGAAAGGCCAAUCAAACCGGGAGAUAGCUGGUUCUCCCC
rnacentral:rRNA from 1 species